rnacentral:tRNA from 1 species
UCCGAAAUGGUCUAGUGGCUAGGAUUUGCCGCUCUCACGUCUACAUCGUGCUGCCGGCAAGGCCGGGGUUCAAUUCCCCGUUUCGGAA